rnacentral:rRNA from 1 species
UACGUAGGGAGCAAGCGUUAUCCGGAUUUACUGGGUGUAAAGGGCGCGCAGGCGGGCUGGCAAGUUGGAAGUGAAAUCCCGGGGCUUAACCCCGGAACUGCUUUCAAAACUGCUGGUCUUGAGUGAUGGAGAGGCAGGCGGAAUUCCGUGUGUAGCGGUGAAAUGCGUAGAUAUACGGAGGAACACCAGUGGCGAAGGCGGCCUGCUGGACAUUAACUGACGCUGAGGCGCGAAAGCGUGGGGAGCAAACAGG